rnacentral:rRNA from 1 species
GAUGAACGCUGGCGGUGUGCCUAAUACAUGCAAGUCGUACGCAUUCUCGUUUCUGAUUGACGGUGCUUGCACCUAAUUGACGAGACAUUGGAAUGAGUGGCGGACGGGUGAGUAACACGUGGGUAACCUGCCCAGAAGCGGGGGAUAACAUUUGGAAACAGAUGCUAAUACCGCAUAAAAGUCAAAACCACAUGGUUUUGAUUUAAAAGAUGGCCUUUGUGCUAUCACUUCUGGAUGGACCCGCGGCGUAUUAGCUAGUUGGUAAGGUAAUGGCGUACAAAGGCAAUGAUACGUAGCCGAACUGAGAGGUUAAUCGGCCACAUGGGACUGAGACACGGCCCAUACUCCUACGGGAGGCAGCAGUAGGGAAUCUUCCACAAUGGGCGCAAGCCUGAUGGAGCAACACCGCGUGAGUGAAGAAGGGUUUCGGCUCGUAAAACUCUGUUGUUAAAGAAGAACGUAUCUAAGAGUAACUGCUUAGGUAGUGACGGUAUUUAACCAGAAAGCCACGGCUAACUACGUGCCAGCCGCCGCGGUAA